ACAGUUUGGUUCUGGCUGAGUAGACAAGCGGCCAUCCGCGGGUCAGACAUGCGAGUGGGCUUCAGUGGAGUCCCGCAUACGGGUGAGAAGAGCAAUCGCGAGCUCCAGCGCUGUGCUGGAGAAUCGGUUGCAGGAUUUGGCGGUUGGUGCGGAGACGGUCUUGCGCAGCGCACCAAACCAUAUCCUUGGCCUGGCUGGAAGGCUUUAGGCCACAGCGGAACUGAAACAAGGUCCGUCGCCUCCCCGGCGCA
rnacentral:rRNA from 1 species